rnacentral:rRNA from 1 species
AUGAACGCUGGCGGCGUGCCUAAUACAUGCAAGUCGAGCGAACAGACGAGGAGCUUGCUCCUCUGACGUUAGCGGCGGACGGGUGAGUAACACGUGGAUAACCUACCUAUAAGACUGGGAUAACUUCGGGAAACCGGAGCUAAUACCGGAUAAUAUAUUGAACCGCAUGGUUCAAUAGUGAAAGACGGUUUUGCUGUCACUUAUAGAUGGACCCGCGCCGCAUUAGCUAGUUGGUAAGGUAACGGCUUACCAAGGCAACGAUGCGUAGCCGACCUGAGAGGGUGAUCGGCCACACUGGAACUGAGACACGGUCCAGACUCCUACGGGAGGCAGCAGUAGGGAAUCUUCCGCAAUGGGCGAAAGCCUGACGGAGCAACGCCGCGUGAGUGAUGAAGGUCUUCGGAUCGUAAAACUCUGUUAUUAGGGAAGAACAAAUGUGUAAGUAACUAUGCACGUCUUGACGGUACCUAAUCAGAAAGCCACGGCUAACUACGUG